UACGGAGGGUGCAAGCGUUGCUCGGAAUCAUUGGGCGUAAAGCGUACGCAGGCUGUUCGUUAAGUCGGGUGUGAAAGCCCGGGGCUCAACCCCGGAAAUGCGCCCGAAAUUGGCGGGCUUGAGUGCGGGAGAGGGAAGCGGAAUUCCUGGUGUAGAGGUGAAAUUCGUAGAUAUCAGGAGGAACACCGGUGGCGAAAGCGGCUUCCUGGCCCGACACUGACGCUCAUGUACGAAAGCGUGGGGAGCAAACAGG
rnacentral:rRNA from 1 species